AUGGAGGACGAGGAGGAGAAGGAAGAGGGCGAGGAGAAGGAGGAGGAUGAGGAGAAGGAGAAGGAGAAGGAGAAGGAGAAGGAAGAUGAGGAGCCGCCUCCCUGUCCCCUGACGGAGGAGCACUUCAAGGAGGGCCUCUCUCUCCUCUGUAAGACCGGCAACGGGCUGGCCCACGCCUAUGUGAAGUUUGAAGCCAAAGACAAGGGCCUGACAGACAUCAGCCUCCUCGAACGCUUCAUUCACCUGCGGUAUGUGGAUUUGUCAAAGAACAAGCUGAAAGAUUUGGCCCCCCUGAGCAGCCUAACCCAGCUGCUUUGGCUGAAGGUGGAUAGGAAUCUGCUCACCAGUGCCAGCAUGCAGGAGCUGCCCUACCUCCAAGUCAUCAGCUUUGAUCGCAACCACAUAGUGGAUUUUGAGGGCAUUACUCACCCCCUCCUAGCCAACCUCAGCCUGAAAGAAAAUAAAAUCGAGACACUGCUGGGCCUGAGUCACGACCAUUUGUUCAGCCUGCAAGUCCUGGAGCUGCGAGGAAACAAGAUAAACACCACAGCAGGGCUCGGCGUUUCCAAGCUCAAGAAGCUCUAUCUGGCCAAGAACACCAUUUGCAGCCUUGAAGGCCUUGAGGAGUUUGAGCAGCUGGAGAUUCUGCACCUGCGUGACAACAAGCUUGAGGCCCUGGAUGGAUUCUCUGCUAGCAUGAAGUGCCUGCAGUACCUCAAUCUACGGGAUUUCACUACUUGCACGGGUCUCCUUGCUCUGCUCUCUGUGCUUCAGGAGCAAUGGGAUCAAAAGCUUUCAGGAGGUGGGAAAGCUGCAGGUGCUGCCCAUGCUGCAGGCGCUGGUGCUGAUGGACAAUCCGUGUGCCCAAGAACCCGAUUACCGGCUGCAGGUCCUGUCCCGGCUGCCACGGCUGCAGCGCCUUGACAAGGAAACGGUCGAGGAAGAGGAGCGGGAAGAGGCCGAGAAAAUCCGACAGACAAGGAGGGAAAAAGAAAAAGAAAAGGAAAUGCAAGAAUCUCUUGAGGAUACAGUGCCUGAGUGACCCGUUUUUAACACCUGUUCCCAGAGGCUGUCAAGAUGUAGUGAUGCCUUUCCUCAUUUGUGAGGCUGAGAAAGCGAGAGCUGUAGGUACCAGCUUCACCUCGUUUCACCUCUGGAGAAAAGAGGAGUGCUACCCACCCUGGUCCUGGAAGUUGCCCUGAGGCACUGCAGUGUUUUUGCAGUCACUGCACUGUGUUCUAUUCUCAGUAGGACUGAGAGGGGAAAGGGGAGAGUUACAGGUCCUGCAGUUCAAUUUGAUUCCCAAAAACCCUGCAAGAUUUUCUGAUUUGAAUAAAAAUAAUUAAUGAGCCUGGA